rnacentral:rRNA from 1 species
GACGAACCGAGCGAACGUUGUUCGGAAUCACUGGGCUUAAAGGGCGCGUAGGCGGGCUGUCAAGUCUGGGGUGAAAUCCCGCGGCUCAACCGUGGAACUGCCUCAGAUACUGACGGUCUCGAGGGAGGUAGGGGCGAGCGGAACUGACGGUGGAGCGGUGAAAUGCGUUGAUAUCAUCAGGAACUCCGGUGGCGAAGGCGGUUCUCUGGGCAUUACCUGACGCUGAGGAGCGAAAGUGUGGGGAGCGAACAGG